rnacentral:rRNA from 1 species
AACGAACGCUGGCGGCAGGCCUAACACAUGCAAGUCGAGCGAGGACUUCGGUUCUAGCGUCGGACGGGUGAGUAACGCGUGGGAAUGUGCCCUUCUCUACGGAAUAGCCCUGGGAAACUGGGAGUAAUACCGUAUACGCCCUAUUGGGGAAAGAUUUAUCGGAGAAGGAUCAGCCCGCGUUGGAUUAGGUAGUUGGUGGGGUAAUGGCCUACCAAGCCGACGAUCCAUAGCUGGUUUGAGAGGAUGAUCAGCCACACUGGGACUGAGACACGGCCCAGACUCCUACGGGAGGCAGCAGUGGGGAAUCUUAGACAAUGGGGGCAACCAUGAUCUAGCCAUGCCGCGUGAGUGAUGAAGGCCUUAGGGUUGUAAAGCUCUUUCAGCUGGGAAGAUAAUGACGGUACCAGCAGAAGAAGCCCCGGCUAACUCCGUG